GACGUAGGGCGCGAGCGUUGUCCGGAUUUAUUGGGCGUAAAGAGCUCGUAGGCGGCUUGUCGCGUCGACUGUGAAAUCCCGCGGCUCAACUGCGGGUCUGCAGUCGAUACGGGCAGGCUAGAGUUCGGUAGGGGAGACUGGAAUUCCUGGUGUAGCGGUGAGAUGCGCAGAUAUCAGGAGGAACACCGAUGGCGAAGGCAGGUCUCUGGGCCGAUACUGACGCUGAGGAGCGAAAGCGUGGGGAGCGAACAGG
rnacentral:rRNA from 1 species